CCGAGUUUCCAACUCACAACCCAUCGUGAACAUACCUCUGUUGCUUCGGCGGUCAAGGCUCCGGCCGGCGCCGCCGAAGGACCUCAAACUCUUGUUUUCCAAUGUGGUUAAUUCUGAGUAAAUCUUGAAAUAAAUCA
rnacentral:misc_RNA from 1 species